AUUUUAUUCUGCUCCGUGAAAAUACUAAAUUAAAUCAAUGGCUAAUUAAAUAGCCAUGAUUUACAAAAUAUCCUCCUUAUUUCUCCAUCAAUGACACGCCAUUUCCUCCCCCAAAAUCUUCCCAAAUAUCUCAAUCAUUUAUUUCAAUUAUUCUCCCAAAUCUUCAAUUAAUUGUGGGAUAUUUCUUAAUCCUAUAAACAAAGGAUCAACCCCUAAACCUAACACACAAAUCACACGCCCACUUCUUCAAACCACACGCCCCACCCCCUUUUUCAUCUCUUCUCCCACUUGUUAUCCAUUUCACUCAAGAUCCUAUCAAUUUUCCAAGAGAUUGUUGAAGAACCAAGGUUUUAAUUGCUUCCUACCAAUUAUUUCGUCCAAGAAAAGGUGAAAUUUUGUGCGAGACGCGUGAUACCAAAGGAAAAGCGAAACUUGAAAACUAAAGGAUCGAGGUUGAGCGGCGACGGGCGGUUGGCGGUGUUGAGCAGGAACUAAUAAUGAACUGUGGUUGUUUUGGUUUUGAAAUUCCGAGUGUCGUUGUGUCUUCACACAUGACGUCACUCUUCUCUUGGAUGCUUCCGCUGUGAUAUUUUUCUUAGAAUACUUUUCAUUUAAAUUCUGAAACUAUUUUAUGAUGGGAUGUUUGAAACUCGUUACACUUUUUGAAUAAAUGCUAAACCCUAGUCUUUAUUCAUUAAACCCUAAUACUCUUGGUCGCAUUAUUUAUUAGACUUAGUUUUUAGUCAAACUUUUAUUGAAAACCCUAGUCUUCUAUGCCGUUCAUCUAAACCCCUUUAAGUCGCGAUCGCCCGCUUUUAUUAACCCUAAGGGGCGGUCGUGACAGCUUUAGCUCGGGUACUUUGCCAUGAACUUCACGACAAGUUCCUCCAGCAUGGUCUGAACUCAGGGAUUGGACAAAGAAGACAUGCUAUUUAAGCUAUACAGUUCUAUAAGUGGUCAAAGCAUGGAAAGAAUAGAAGAGCUUCUCCAGGAGGACCAGAAUGUCAAGCGGAGGAAAGAGCGUAUCCAGAAACAGUCCUCUAUUCUUUCCAAGCUUACUACACAACUCUGUAUUAAUGAUAAUCUGGCAGCCGCUGCAUCCACCUAUUCCAAUGAAGUAGAAAGUUCAACCAUUGCUGGCCCAUCUUCCCGGGAGGUCUGGAGAUGCUACGUUUGAUGCUGCUGCCAGCGGUCCAAACCUAUCAUAUGGGGAUUCUAGAUCAAAUUGUCUCAGUCGCCGG